GAUGAGAACGCAGCGAAAUGCGAUAAGUAAUGUGAAUUGCAGAAUUCAGUGAAUCAUCGAAUCUUUGAACGCACAUUGCGCCCGCCAGUAUUCUGGCGGGCAUGCCUGUUCGAGCGUCAUUACAACCCUCAGGCCCCCGGGCCUGGCGUUGGGGAUCGGCGGAAGCCCCCUGUGGGCACACGCCGUCCCUCAAAUACAGUGGCGGUCCCGCCGCAGCUUCCAUUGCGUAGUAGCUAACACCUCGCAACUGGAGAGCGGCGCGGCCAUGCCGUAAAACACCCAACUUCUGAAUGUUGACCUCGAAUCAGGUAGGAAUACCCGCUGAACUUAAGCAUAUCAAUAAGCGGAGGA
rnacentral:misc_RNA from 1 species